UCUGGGAUGCUCUUUGCUCAGAUAUCUGGC
rnacentral:piRNA from 2 species